rnacentral:rRNA from 1 species
CCUACGGGAGGCAGCAGUGGGGAAUUUUGGACAAUGGGGGCAACCCUGAUCCAGCCAUGCCGCGUGAGUGAAGAAGGCCUUCGGGUUGUAAAGCUCUUUCGGCCGGGAAGAAAUCGUGGUCUCUAACAUAGGCCAUGGAUGACGGUACCGGACUAAGAAGCACCGGCUAACUACGUGCCAGCAGCCGCGGUAAUACGUAGGGUGCGAGCGUUAAUCGGAAUUACUGGGCGUAAAGCGUGCGCAGGCGGUUUUGUAAGACAGAUGUGAAAUCCCCGGGCUUAACCUGGGAACUGCGUUUGUGACUGCAAGGCUAGAGUACGGCAGAGGGGGGUGGAAUUCCUGGUGUAGCAGUGAAAUGCGUAGAGAUCAGGAGGAACACCGAUGGCGAAGGCAGCCCCCUGGGCCUGUACUGACGCUCAUGCACGAAAGCGUGGGGAGCAAACAGGAUUAGAUACCCUGGUAGUCCACGCCCUAAACGAUGUCGACUAGUCGUUCGGAGCAGCAAUGCACUGAGUGACGCAGCUAACGCGUGAAGUCGACCGCCUGGGGAGUACGGCCGCAAGGUUAAAACUCAAAUGAAUUGACGG